CCCCCAUCUGCCCCCCUUUAUCCCUGGUGUUGCGCUGAUUUGCUUCCCCAUCUGCGGAGCUGCCUCUCUCCCUGCUGGGCCCUUCUCCAGCAUCAUUUGAGACCCUUCCCUCCGCCUCUAGCUCCGGUGUCAGUUCCCUGACAGGUAGGUAGCCGUGUUGGUCUGUCAUAGUCAUAAUAAAUAACAAGAUGAAAGAUUUUUUAAAAAAAUAUUAAAAGAUGAUCCAAAAAGAACUCCCUUAAGAGAAUCAAGUCUUUUUUUCUUAAGACAGUCUUUAAAAGAAUACUUGCCAAAAAAUAUUUAUAAUUCCAGUAGCACCUUACAUCCCUUGCCGUUCCCUGUGGAACCAACUGCCAUCAUUAACAGUCAUCAACAGUUAUAAGGGUGUAGUGACCUCAGCUUCAGAGUAUCUGAAGAUGUGUGUAUGCACACAAAACCUCAUACCUAGAAAGCUUAUAUUUAGUUGGUCUUUAAGGUGCUACUGGAAUUAUUUUUUUAAAAUUGGGAAAAGAGAUUCUUUUAAAGACUGCCUUAAGACAAAAAGACUUGAUUCUCUUCAGGAAGCUCUUUUUGGAUCAUCUUUUAAUAAUAAAAAAAAUCUUUCAUCUUGCUAUUUAUUAUAUCUCAUGACUGUUGAGUUUACACUGAUUUAUGAUUUCCCUCUCUAUUUGAUCUGCUGUUGAAAUCUGGGUGCUCUCCAUUGGAAACUGAAGUGGGGGGACCCCUGGAGGAAAAGAACUUAAUUUUUUCCAUGAAAACUAUUGAAUUGUCUUAGUAAGGCUAUUACAAGACUACAUAGACCUUUUGAUUCUCUUUCCACCUAGCUGCACUCAUUUCUGCACAGAAUCUCAUUCAACAACAGUGCUGGGGAUGAGAUCACAUUAAAUGAACAUGGAGAAUUAGCAGGUGGAUUUGAUAUUACAAACCUGGUCACUUUCCCAAAUAAUUCCUAUGUCAGGGUCAAAGUCGGAAAGCUGGAUCCUCAGGCCCCUCCUGGAAAAGAGCUCACCAUUAACGGGAACGGAAUUCAAUGGCACAGAGUCUUCACUCAGGUAAGGGAAUCAAUGCAUAUGGGGUGGCAUGUCUCGUUUUGCUACUUGAGGAGAAAAGGGAAGUGCUGCCCACUACUAAUAACACUGCUACUAAUAAUUCUACAGUGGUACCUUGGUUCUCGAAUGGCUUGGCUCCUGAACAAAUCGACGCCCGAAUUCCACAAACCUUGAAGUAGGAGUUCUGGUUUGCGAAUGUUUUCAGGAAGUUGAACGUCUGAUGUGGCUUCCACUUGAGUACAGGAAGCUCCUGCACCCAAUCAGAAGUCAUGCCUUGGGUUUUUUUAACAGCUUCGGGAGUCGAACGGACUUCUGGAACAGAUUAAGUUCAAGAACUGAGGUACCACUGUAUUAGUAAAUAUGAAAUGAACCAUUCCUUUGAAAAGAGCAACAUGCAAGGACGACAUGCCAAACUAAGAAGGACCAAUGGCUAGCAAAGAAUGUUGUCCAAUAUGUUUGUUUGUUCAAGGCAGCUCUCCACAUAGUGGCAUUAGAUAGAAUGCUAAACUAACUGUAUCUUUGUGAAUGAACAUUGUAAUCUUCAUGAGUUUUUCUGAUGCCACUUGAGACCCUAGUAUUGAAUUGGAAUGACAGAAGCAGGAGUGUAGGGAGGUGUUUGUCAGGUAGGCCCCUGCCACGGACCCAGGAGGAGCCCCCCAAAUCAUGCCUUGCUCAGAGUGGCUUGAAAUCCGGCUGCCCAUCCAAGUACUCCAUGGGCUGCAGGGCAAGGCAUGUCAUGGUCCUGUGCUCCCUCUGAGGAGGGAGCAGCCAGCCAACCAGCCACAUCUCAGGGGGGUACUGGACUGGAGGCAGAGUCCCAGAUGCUCAGUGAUAGGGAUGCAUGACAAAGGGCUGUUCUGCACACACACGCAUUCUCAAGCGGCAAACCCAGAAGUAACCCGUUCCCGUACUUCUGGAUUUGCUGCAGACGUUCAGCGGAAUGGACGCUCAAUGGGGUGGACGGUUCAAUCCAGUCCUAACCUCAGGAGUAUUACAGUUCACAUAGUCAGACAAUCUGGGGAUCAAGAAAGUCAAGGGGCCAAGGUCACGAGAACCAAGGUCACGAGAAGACCAUGAGCAGCAAGGUCUAGUCAGGAAUGACAAAAGUUGUUUCCAGCAACUGACUGAGGCUGGAAACCCUGCUUAAGAAAGCUGGAGCCAGGAGGUUCUCUUCAGGAGCAAAAAGGAUGAUCAGCAGCAGGUGGAGUCACUUUGCCGUCUGCUACUUCAGGCUGCUGCUCAGUAGGUGAAGCCGACUCCUGGCCCAUGACACCACUUGCGUUGGCCAUCAGAGCAGCGGUGCAGUUCCACAUCACUAGUUAGUUGUUGGCACUGUUGUAAGUGUUGUAGAGUGCAAAGCUUAGCUUGGAGGGAAGAAAAGAGAGGCUGGUGGAUGGAGUUGCAAGAGAUAGAAGGCGAGCAGGCAGGCAAUAUAUCUUUCAGGUUCACACUAAUAAACAUUUUUGGAAUGUCUUAAUGCCCACGUCCAUUUUGCUUUCAGGAUUGUUAACCCCAUAUUUGCUAAAUCCCAUUCCCAUUUCCUUUAUAUGAAGGAUGAAGAGAUUAUUUUGCAUAUAUUGAGAGUAUGGAUCCUACAUUUAACAUUUCUGCCCCUCCUAUUUAAUGAUAGAUCUUCUGAUGUUAGAUGAAUCCCUGAAACAUUUUCUUAAUAUUAACCUCUUCCUAUAUCUUUGGAUAGGUGCCACCCGUUUCAUUAUGUAAUGCCAACUGCCUUCCCGGUUAUGAGAAGAAAAUGAAGGAGGGCAACAAGUUCUGUUGUUAUGAUUGUGAUCCAUGUCCUCAUGGGAUGUUUUCAAAUGAGGAGGGUGAGAGAUGCCAUAUUAGCAUAUACAAGUUAUUUUAGUAAAUUCUGAACAAAUUGGCAAUGGGGUUUGCUCUGUAUGGCCUCAAUUUAUAUUGUUUAUUAAAAAUAGUAUAUUGAUUUUCCUUCAGUCUCAGUAAAAGCUGCCACUAUGGAGAAAUUAUCUUAACGUUCUAGGGAGUAAACCAUCAGAAUGUGACUUUAUCUGUAACGUAAAGAUUUUCCAUCACUGUAUCUACAUUGAUCUUUUAAACAUUAUUAAAUAUGAUGUUCCAUAAUGUUUAAUGCAGUUUCGCAUUGCUGGUGGCUCACUGCUGAGGUGUCACAUUUUAAUAAUGCAUUUAAACUUUAUAAACCCCUAGUGUAGCUUCACCUCAAGUCCGUUUUGAUGCAACAAGACACAAAUUUCAUACAGUGGUACCUUGUGUCACAGACGCUUCAGGUUACAGACCCUGAUAACCCAAAAAUAGUUCCUCAGGUUAAGAACUUUGCUUCAGGAUGAGAACAGAAAUCGUGUGGUGGCCGCGUGGAGGCAGUGUGAGGCCCCAUUAGCUAAAGUGGUGCCUCAGGUUAAGAACAGUUUCAGGUUAAGAACGGACCUCCAGAACGAAAUAAGUUCUUAACCCGAGGUACCACUGUACAUACAUUUUGUCCUGGAAGACAACACUAAAGUUUUGGGGAAGGGAGGAUGGAAUAGAAGUGGCGGUUUUUUCUCUGAGACCAAGGCUCUUUGGGGACAGUGUUAAAAUCCUAUAAAAAUCACCCCUCUUGCUUCCAAGAUUUCAGCUAUAAUAUUUCUCAGAUUUCAUUAUGAAGUAUAUGUGGUUAUAAGAAAAUGGAGGAGGACCACCAAAAUAAUAGUUUCUCCAUAUAUGAAAUGUAAGAUUGCUUGUUUGUGAAAUCCCCAAGGCAGCUCUCUAUUUAGUGGCAUUAGAUAGAAUGCUACGCUAACUGUAUCUUUGUGAAUGAACAUUGUAAUCUUCAUGAGUUUUUCUGUUACCGCUUGAGACUCUAGUGUUGGGUUGCCAUCAUAGGGACCACAGCUGUGAGGCAUUCGCAAGCUUUUUUGCGGAGAAAGUCCUGUUGCUCCGCCGUGACCUCCCUGCCAAUUUCGAUACAGUGACUGAACUGGAGGCCCCUCGACUGACUUCAGGUCCAAUGUUGGACCAUUUCGAUCGGAUACUCCCUGCUGAUGUGGAUAGAUUCCUCCAAGUUGGUAGGCCCACCACCUGCCUCCUUGAUCCGUGCCCAUCUUGGCUGAUUAGGGAGUGUCCAGAUGUUGCGCGGACCCCCCUGGUUGAAAUUAUCAAUUUAUCCCUUGACACGGGGACAUUCCCAGGGGAACUGAAGGAAGCAGUAGUGUGUCCAUUCUUAAAGAAAACUUCAUUAGAUCCCUUAGACCUAUCCAAUUACCGCCCAGUUUCAAAUCUUCCAUAUCUGGGUAAGGUAAUUGAGAGAGCGGUUGCUGAACAGCUUGGUAGGUUUCUGGAGGAAACCGGCUUUAGUUCCAUUUCAGUCCGGUUUCCGUCCUGGUUUUGGGACCGAGACAGCUCUGGUUGCCCUAACAGAUGAUCUCCGUAGACAACUGGAUCGAGGCGGGUUAGGACUACGGAUCCUUUUAGAUUUGUCAACAGCCUUUGACAUGGUUGAUCAUGAUCUUCUGGACCACCGCCUCACAGAUGUGGGGAUACAGGGCAUAGCCUGUAACUGGCUGUGCUCUUUUAUCUCUGGUUGGGGACAGAGGGUGGCACUAGGGAGGGAUAUGUCGUUGCGCCAUUCCUUGGUGUGUGGAGUGCCGCAGGGCGCAAUUCUCUCCCCAAUGCUUUUUAACAUCUUUAUGCGCCCCCUUGCCCAGAUUAUCCGGAGCUUUGGGCUGGGCUGUCACCAAUAUGCUGAUGACACUCAGCUCUAUCUGCUGAUGGAUGGCCACACCGACUCGGCCCUGAAUACACUGACCAGAUGCUUGGAAGCUGUGGCUGGAUGGUUUCGUGGGAGCCGAUUGAAACUAAAUCCUUCGAAGACAGAGGUCCUAUGGCUGGGUCGGGAUGGCAUGGGGAUGAGGGACCAACUCCCUUCUUUUGCGGGGGCCCAAUUAGUGCCAUUGCCUUCCGUUAAGAGUUUGGGUGUAAUCCUUGACGCCUCCCUUUCCAUGGAGGCGCAAGUUACAGCAACAGCCAAGGCAACAUUUUUCCACCUUCGCCGCAUCAAGCAGUUGGUCCCUUACCUUUCCCGCCCCGACCUGGCCACAGUGAUCCAUGUGACGGGCAUUUCCAGGCUUGACUACUGUAAUUCGCUCUACGCGGGGCUGCCGUUGAAGCUGUCCCAGAAACUCCAGCGGGUGCAGAAUGCUGCAGCGAGGCUCCUCACGGGGUCUCUGCCAUGGGAGCAUAUUCACCCAGUGCUUUUCAAACUGCACUGGCUCCCGGUAGAGUACAGGGUCAGAUUUAAGGUGCUGCUUUUGACCUUUAAAGCCCUUCACGGCCUAGGACCCUCGUACCUACAGGACCGCCUCUCCCAGUAUGCCCCACGGAGAGCCUCAAGGUCCAUAAAUAGCAACACCCCAAUGGUCCCGGGCCCUAAGGAAGUUAGAUUAGCUUCAACCAGAGCCAGGGCCUUUUCAACUCUGGCUCCGGCCUGGUGGAACGCUCUGCCUCAAGAGACCAGGGCCCUGUAGGAUCUGAUUUCUUUCCGCAGGGCCUGUAAGACAGAGUUGUUCCGCCUGGCCUUUGGCUUGGAGCCAAUUUGAUUCCCUCCCUAUCUUUCUUUUUUCCUUUCCUUCUCCUUCUGCGAUGAGGUUACAUUUUAAUAUUUUAAUGUUUCAAUAUUUUAAUGUUGUAUUUUAAUUUUGUUUUUAAGUUGUAAUCAUUCAACUUGUUUUUAUUAUUGCUUGUAAGCUGCCCUGAGCCUGGCCUUGGCUGGGGAGGGCGGGGUAUAAAUAAAAAUUAUUAUUAUUAUUAUUAUUAUUAUUAUUAUUAUUAUUAUUGAAGGAAUGUAGGGAGGUGUUUGUCAGGUUGACUCCUGCCACAGGCCUAGGAGGUUCCCCCAAAAUCAUGCCUUGCUCGGAGUGCCCUGGAGCCCAGCUGCCCAUCCAUGUACUCCGUGGGCUGCUGGGCAAGGCAUGCAGGCUCCUCUCAGUGCCUCGGGGGAGGAAUCCAGCUGCUUGUCUUUGUCCUGUGCUGCCAGCCAUGGCAGAGCUCAGUGGAGGGAGAAGCCAGACAACCAGUCAAGUCUCAGGGGGUUGCUUGCCUGGAGGCAGAGUCCGCAUAAAAGGUCCAGUCCAGUCCUAAGGUCACGAGUAUCUCAGUUCAUGUAGUCCGACAAUCUGGGGCUCAAGAAAGCCAAGGGUCAAAGGUCACGAGAAACAAGAAGCAGCAAGGUCUGGUCAGGAAUGACAAAAGUUGUUUUCAGUAACUGACUGAGGCUGGAAACCCUGCUUAAGAAAGCUGGAGCCUGCUGGUUCUCAUCAGGAGCAAGAAGGCAGAUCAGCAGCAGGUGGAGUCACUUUGCUUUCUGCUCCUUUAGGCUGCUGCUCAGUAGGGGAAGCCAACGCUUGGACCAUGACACUGGUGGCAUUGGCCAUCAGAGCAGCUGUGCAGUUCUUCAUCCCUGGUUAGCUGUUGUCAUUAUUAUAAGUGUGAGCAGAGUGCUAAGCACGGCCCGGAGGGAAGAAAGGAGAGGCUGGUGGAUGGAGUUGCAAUAGAUAGAAGGUUGGCAGGUGGUAUGCCAAGCGAUGGAGGUAGGCAGGCAGGGAGACCAAAGAAGGCAGGAUGAGGAGCAGAGCAGACCCAACCCCGAUGGCUGAGGAGGAGCACUUACAGAUACAAAAGAACGAGGUGGUUUUGCCCUCCCAGACUUUAAAUUAUACUAUGAGGCUGCAUGCCUGGUAUGGAUCAGGGGCUAGAUAAAGUUGGAAAAGCAAGAAGCAUUAGAUCUAGAAGGACAUGACAACAGAUUUGGAUGGCACGCAUAUUUCAGGUAUGGGAAAGGGAAAAUACAUAAAGGUUUUUAUAACCAUAUAAUUACGAAAUCACUAAUGAGAGUAUGGGAGAGAUAUAAAGACUUAUUAGAACAGAAGACUCCUUGAUGGCUUUCACCACAUGAAGCUUUAUUGCCCAAGCCAUUCAGUAAAAAAGGAAAGUGGCUCAUGUAUGCUGAUUUAUUAAAGGACCAAGAAGGAAAAUGGAAAUUAAGAGAUUGCAAGGAAAUAAAAGACCAUUUUCAGAGCUGGUUACACUAUUGGCAACUACACGAGAUAUACAAAGAAGACAAUAAGAAAGGAUUUAGUUAUACCAUAUCUAGAUUUCAUUUUUUUAAAAAAAAACAAUAUUUUUUAUUACUUUUACAGUACAAAAUUAUAAAGAAUACAGCACAUAUUUUCUCACAAAUUACAUUCAUUAUGGACUUCCCUCAGCUCUUCUGAUAAUCCUCCGUAUUAAUCAUUUCUUACGCAUUUCCUAAUUUUAUAUUGCCUUAUACUAAUUACCUCUCCUCCCUCCUUUCCCUUUUUUACAAUAUUCCUAAUAUUUUUUCUUCACAGAGCUUCUUGUAAGCCCACAAACGUUGUUUCAUCACUGCAUAUACUUUUCAGAUAGUCCACAAAUUUACUCCAGUCUUCGGUGAACUUCUGAUCCUGCCGGUUUCGGAUCUUCCCUGUCAGUUUAUCAAGUUCUGCAUAGUCCAUUACUUUCUUCUCCACUCCUCUAUCGUUGGUAACUCUUCCUGUUUCCAUUUUUGGGCCAAUAAUAUUCUUGCUGCUGUUACCGCAUACAAAAAAAGCUUGCAUUAUUCUUUAUUUAUUUCAUUUCCUACUAUACCUAACAGAAAUGCUUCUGGUUUCUUUACAAAUGUAUAUUUCAACAUUUUUUUCAAUUCAUUAUAAAUCAUCUCCCAGAAGCUUUUCACCUUUUUACAUUCCCACCACAUAUGAUAGAAUGUCCCCUCUUUUUCCUGACAUUUCCAGCAUUUAUUACUUACUUUAUACAUUUUUGGUAGUUUUACUGGUGUAAUAUACCAUCUAUAUAUCAUUUUCAUCACAUUCUCUUUUAACGCAGUACAUGCAGUAAAUUUUAAACCUUCAUUCCAUAAUUUUACCCAUUUUUUUAAUUGUAUAUUAUAACCAAAGUCUUUGGCCCAAUGAAUCAUAACCGAUUUAAUUUCUUCAUCUUUAGUAUGCCAUUCCAGCAGCAAUUUAUACAUUUUAGACAGAAUUUUAAAGUCAUUAUUCAAUAUUUCAAGUUGAAACUUCGACUCCUUUUCUGAAAAAGCUUUUUCUUUAACAUCUUUUUUAAACAUUUCAUUAAUCUGAUAAAAAUGCAGCCAAUCAUUAACAUAUUCUUUCACCUCCUCAUAUGGUUUCAGUUUCCAUUUACCCCCUUCUUUAAUUAUUAAUUUCCCAUAUGUUAUCCACCUCCCACUCAUAUUGACCUUUUCAACACUCAUCACUUCUAAAGGAGACAACCAAUGUGGUAUUUUUUGUUCCAAUAGGUUUUUAUACCUAUCCCAAACAUCUAUAAGAGAUCUUCAAAAUAUGUGGUUUCCAAAUCCUUUAUGGAUUUUUUUCUUAUCAUACCAUAAAUACGCGUGCCAACCAAAUCUAUUAUCAAAUCCUUCUAAAUCUAACAAUUCUGUAUCUUCUAGUUUUAUCCAUUCCUUCAACCAACAAAGACAUGCUGCUUCAUAGUACAAUUUCAAAUCGGCAGGGCGAAGCCCCCUCUUUCUUUAGCAUCCGUUAGUAACUUAAAUUGUAUUCUUGGCUUCUAACCCUGCCAGAUAUACCUUGAAAUUGUCUUUUGCCAUUCUUUAAAGAUUGCAACUCCUUUAAUUACUGGAAUCAUCUGAAACAGAAAUAACAUCUUCGGAAGCACGCUCAUCUUUAUCGUUGAAAUCCUUCCCCAAAAUGACAACUUCAGUCUUCCCCUCUAGAUCUCUUUUAAUUCUGUUCUACAUUGGUACAUAAUUAUUUUGAAAUAAAUCAAUAUUUUUGGGAGUUAACCAAAUUCCCAAAUAUUUAACUUUCUUUACCACUUCUAUACCUAUUUGUUGCUGCAAUGUUUCUAUCAAUUCUUGUUUCAUAUUUUUAGCAAUUAUUCUAGGUUUUUUCUUAUUCAGUUUAAAACCUACCAUUUGGCCAAACUGUUCUAUUUCCUCUAAUACCUCCUUAACACUUGAUAAUGGUUCUUCCACUGUUAAUACCAAAUCAUCGGCAAACACCAUUUCUCUGUCUUUAAAAAUAAGUAAACAAUCACCUGGAAAUUUCUUUGCUUUGGUAGUUCUAAUCUUAAUUCGGAAUGCCUUUUGAACUGUUUUGGCCACCUCUUCUAUUUGCAUUUCUAACCAUUGGGCUAUCUCUGAUAUCAAUUUCUCCUUAAUCUUCUCACCUUGAGUUUCAGGCACAGCCCUCAACCUUAAAUUUACCUCUCUUUGCCUCAAUUCAUUCAUAGCAAUCGCAUCCCAUAAUUUCUCUUGGUACUUAUUAAUUUCUGACACCCCAACUUAAUUUUUUCUUCUUCCCUUUUUACUUCUUUCACUUCUUUCACCUCCAAUUUUGCCCUCUUCAUCCCCUCCUCCAAAAUCUGCAUUCUUUUUGUUAUAUCCUUUAUUUGUCCCUUCAGUUCAUUUACCGUCACCUCUAAUUUUUUAUCCAUCUGUUCCAAUUUUGACUCUAUAUUUUUCUCACUUUGUUUUAUAUCUUUUUUUAUUUCAGCAAACAUUUUUAAUAUAUCCCCUUUAAGCUCUGUUUCUUGUCUUGAACUCUUCCUUUCCCCAGGCGUCGCUCCUUCACUUGCUUUUUUCUGUGAAUGUGACAUUUUCUUUUUCCGAAUUAGACACUUAAAUACACUUCUGCCACUUGUCUGGCUAUUCCAACUUUGGGUUAUCCAAAUAUAAUUAAAAAAAAGAAUAUAAUAAAUCAAUCCCCAAAAAAGCAAACAAACAAAACUUCUUGCCACUUGAUUGGCUAAUCCACCUUUUAAAAGUGAAGACAAUAAGAAACGAUUUAGUUAUACGAUAUCUAGAUUUCAAAAGGAAGUUGUGGCAGGGAAGGUAAAGCUGCUUAAGGGUAGAAUGGGAGACAAAAGAUGAGGAGGUGAAAUCAGUCAUGAUCCAAUGGGCACAAGUUAUAGGUCAUAACAUAUUGUUUGAAGAUUGGGAAAGAUUGUGGAAAACUAAUUUAAAAUUUACAGAUAAUUCUUUAUUGAAAGAAAACUACAUGAAAAUGAUGUAUAGAUGGUACAUAGCACCAGUACAGAUAGCAAGAAUGUAUAAAACUGGCUCAAGCAUAUGUUGGAAACGUAAGGAAAAAGAAGCGACUUUCUAUCAUAUGUGGUGGGAUUGUAGAGAAAUUUAAAAAUUUUGGGAAAUGAUAUAUAAUGAGUUGAAGAAAAUGUUUAAACUAACAUUUGAAGAAGAAGAAAAAGCCAGAAGCAUUUUUGUUAGGAAUUGUAGGAAAAGACCUGCCAAGGAAAGUGAAGAACAUAUUUAUGUAUGCAACAACGGUGACAAGAGUCUUAAUGGCACAAGGAUGGAAGAAUGAAGAAACCCCGAGAAAAGAAGAGUAGCAAGAGAAAUUGAUGGACUAUGCGGAACUGGCAAAGUUGACGCAGAAACUGCGCAAUAAGGACAACUGUGACUUUAAAGAAGAAUGGGAACCUUUUACAAAGUACUUAAAGAAACAACAAAAUGAAUUGGACUCCUUGGCAGGUUUUGAAUAAACAAACACAAAUUUUUUUGUUAAUAUAAUAGAUGGAUAAUUUAUAGAUUUUUACAUUUUUAUAACAUGCAGAGAAUAAUAUGUGUUAACAAAUCAGAAAGAGGAACUGAGGGAAGUCGUAGGGGGAGGGGGAGGGGGUAUGUGGGGGAGAUGGGGGAAAUUGGGGAAAAUACAAUUGUUGGAAUAAUUUGUUAUGUGAAAAUAGUCAAUAAUUUUUUUUAAAAAAAGAACUGUAGCUUUUUCUCCCAAGGUAUGUGGCACCUGGGCACAUAUGGAUCCUACAGUUAACAUUUCUGGCCCUCCUAAUUACGGAUAGAUCACCUGAUGUUAUCCCUAAAACAAUUUCUUAAUAUUAAUCCCUUUGUGUCCCUUUGGAUAGGUGCCACCCCUUUCCUUAUGUAAUGCCAAUUGCCGUCCUGGUUAUGAGAAGAAAAAGAAGGAGGGGAAGAAGUUCUGUUGUUAUGCUUGUGAUCCAUGUUCUCAUGGGAUGUUCUCAAAUGAGAAGGGUGAGAGAUGCCAUAUUAGCAUGUGCAAGUUAUUUUAGUAAAUUAUGAACAAAUGGGCAAUGGGGUUUGCUCUGUAUGGACUCAAUUUAUAUUGUUUAUUAAAAAUAGUAUAUCAGUUUCCCUUCAGUCUCAGUAAAAGCCGCCACUAUGAAGAAAUUAUCUUAACCUUCUAGGGAGUAAACCAUCAGAAUGUGACUUUAUCUGUAAUGUAAAGAUUUUCCAUCACUGUGUCUACAUUGAUCUUUUAAACGUUAUGAAAUAUGAUGUUCCAUAAUGUUUAAUGCAGUUUCCCAUUGCUGGUGGCUCACUGCUGUGGUGUCACAUUUUAAUAAUGCAUUUUAACUUUAUAAGCCACUAGUGUAGCUUCACCUCAAGUCACUUUUGAUGCGACAAGAGAUAAAUUUCAUACAGUGGUACCUCGGGUUACAGACGCUUCAGGUUACAGACUCUGCUAACCCAAAAACAGUGCCUCAGGUUAGGAACUUUGCUUCAGGAUGAAAACAGAAAUCGUGUGGCAGCAGCAUGGAGGCAGUGCGAGGCCCCAUUAGCUAAAGAGGUGCCUCAGGUUAAGAACAGUUUCGAGUUAAGAAUGGACCUCCAGAAUGAAAUAAGUUCUUAACCCGAGGUACCAUUGUACAUACAUUUUGUCCUGGAAGACAACACUAAAGUUUUGGGGAAGGGAGAAUGGAAUAGAAGUGGCGGUUUUUUCUCUGAGACCAAAGCUCUUUGGGGACACUGUUAAAAUCCUAUAAAAAUCACCUCUCUUGCUUCCAAGAUUUCAGCUAUAAUAUUUCUCUGAUUUCAUUAUGAAGUAUCUGUGGUUCUAAGAAAAUGGAGGAGGACCACUGAAAGAAUAGUUUCUCCAUAUAUGAAAUGUAAGAUUUCAUGCAUAACUUUAUUUUCAAAGCAUCAAGGGCACAAGCAUUUGAACUAGAAGUUUUGAAACAUUUUCCUUGGUGGAGCACUAUGGUAAGGGGUCUCCUGAUUUUUUAAAAAACAAAGCACACUCUUAAGCAUAUUCUGGAUUGUUUCCAAUUGUCAUGCAACCUUUUUUCAGGGUUGGAAACCUGUGCCAGAUGUCCUCCGGAUCAAUAUCCAAAUGAAGAGCAGAAUGAGUGCAUUCCCAAGAAACCAAAUGUCCUAGGCUUUGGUGAAACUUUGGCCAUUAUUUCAACUUUCUCUGCACUUUUAUUCUCUCUGAUCACAGCUAUGGUACUUGGCAUUUUCAUUAAGCACCGGGACACUGCCAUCGUCAAAGCCAAUAACAGAAGCCUCACUUACAUUCUCCUCAUCUCCCUCCUCUUGUGUUUCCUGUGCUCCUUGAUGUUCAUUGGAAUGCCUAAUAAGACAACUUGCCCACUCCGACAAACGGCUUUUGGAAUUGUCUUCUCUGUGGCCCUCUCCAGCAUCUUGGCCAAGACUAUUUCAGUGGUUUUGGCAUUCAUGGCUACAAAGCCAGAUUCCAUGAUCAGGAAGUGGGUAGGCAAAAAACUGGCUUAUUCCAUUGUCCUUUCCGGCUCCAUUGUUCAAGUGGGACUUUGUGUCUUCUGGCUGGCAACCUCUGCCCCAUUCCCAGAUGUGGACAUGCAUUCAAGCAGUGAAGAAAUUAUAUUCUUAUGUAACGAAGGGUCAGUUCUCAUGUUCUAUGGUGUUUUAGGCUACAUGGGCUUCCUGGCCAUUAUCAGCUUCACUGUGGCCUUCUUAGCCCGGAAGUUGCCAGACAGCUUCAAUGAAGCCAAGUUCAUCACCUUCAGCAUGCUGGUCUUCUGCAGUGUUUGGUUCUCCUUCAUUCCCACAUACUUGAGCACCAGAGGAAAAUACAUGGUGGCUGUGGAGAUCUUCUCCAUCUUGGCUUCCAGUGCUGGGCUGCUGGGUUGCAUCUUUUCCCCCAAAUGCUAUAUUAUUGUGGUGAGGCCUGAGCUGAAUAACAGAGAGCAGCUGAUACGGAGAAAGAUGUAAAUAACAGAAUAGUUUGUCAUUUCUAUAUUUACACUCUAGACCUGUUGGCAUGGUAAUUUCCCUGUGGUUUUUCAAGAAAGGAAGUUACCUGAAAUGAUCAAAAUAACAGAAUGGAUUGUCUUAUCAUUUAUGUUCUUGAUGUCCAGCAUAGCUGCUUAUGAGAUUUCAAUGAACAGGGAUUACAUGUAUGAAAGAAACUAUGGAUGAUAACCAACCACUUGAAUGCGUACACGUCCCCUUACUCUUCUUCUCCUGCAUCCAAAGAGAGGCCCUCUUAUCUUCCCAAGAGGCCUGAACCUCUCCUGAGGCGAUGAUGGGGUGCAGAGAGAAGAGAAGAAAAAGAACACAAGAACUUAAGAAGCUGCCUUAUACUGACUCCAUUAGUCUAUGCAGCAGGGCUGUGCACCAGAUUUGACCAUGCUCCAUGCCAGAAUGUGCCGAUUUUGGGUGAGCUGGGCAUCUAUCAAGUUCCUGUUGGACAGCAAUGAAUUGCAGCAGGUUGGAUUAGAUGAAGCAGAAUGAUCCAGGGUCACUGUGGAGAGGGGCAUCAGUCAGUGUAUGGAUGCCAGCAUCAGGCUAGAAAACCUCACUGAGCCAUUUCAAAAAGUAAGGGCAGGUAAAAGAAGGGAGGCAGGCAAUAAAGAUACUAACUUUAUGUUUAGAUAAGGAUGAAGAACAAGCGAAGAAUCCAGUGAUAACAGCCAAAGAUUUCUUGCCCACUGCCACUCUCAAGAUUCAGUUUGCAGCUUCUAUCAUCACAACUCACAAACCAAAGCAGAACUGACACAAUGUUAAAUACCACCCCAACCAUUCCCCUAUAUAUACUGAUUAUUUUAAGAAAUGAGUGGAACAUGACAAUUUCAUGGCGACAGUAGUUCCAUUAAAUCAUGGAUCAUGUUUUGGGUGAUUCAUUUUGAAGCCCCUACAUUUAUGUAUGUAUUCAUUUACAUUGUUCAUAAUAUGUUGAAGCAGAACAUUUAAAAGUGCUCUGAACUGAAAAUCAGAUGGAAGUGACUCAACUUGCCAUAGACACUCCUCCAGGCUCUAAGGUGAUUUUAUAUGUUGUGGUCUUCUUUGUGAAACACCCUGAGACCUCUGUUUAUUAGGUGGUGUAUAAAUAAUAAUAAUAAUAAUAAUAAUAAUAAUAAUAAUAAUAAUAGCAGUGGCAGAUAAAUACCACCCUAGAGAUGGAACUUUAUUCUACACCACGCUAUUAUUUGCACCAGGGGUAGUUAAUCUAUGGCCCUCCAGAUGUUGCUGAACAACAGCUCCCACCAGCUUACAACAGGCCAUUAUUAUCAAGGAUGAUGGCAACUGUAGUCCAGAAACAUCUGGAUGGCAUAACAGUGCAUAUAACUGUCUUGCACUGAUGGGCCACCCUGACAGUCUUCUGCAUUUAUGCUUCCGACCAGAGUAAGAGAGAGAUGUCUUGAACUAGUGGUUUUCAGCCAGUGUGCUGUGGCAUCCUGGAGUGCCUUGAAUGAUGGUCAGGGGUGCCACAGUCAACACUGGCCUCUCUUCCUCUUUCCUUUCCUCCCUCCUCUGAUGCCCUCUUGUGACUCGGCCUCCCAAAGAUUUGCACAGCCUUGGCUACAAGCUCCUCAGGUGAAUGGUGCUUCUGGGGCUGACCAGAGGGUGCUUCCAAAGGGGCAGUGUUAGGAGGGGUAGGGGGCAGCUUAGAGACUAGGCGUGGCGGCGGCAGCAGCAAGGAGAGGGCAGACGAGUGGAGGCUGAGGGAACAUGACACAAGGGAGGGUAUUUGAAAAAGUGUGGGAAGCUGCCAGCUCGGCAGACAAAUCAGUACUGUAUUGCAGACCAGAAGACACAACCCCUACUCCUUCUCUAUAAGCAUCUCUGGUUCCCUCAAGCCUUUCACCUUCACUCGAACUUCCGGGUUAGCGCCAUCGGCGAAUGGCGGAGUUCCUCCGACUGGAGGAACUGGCUCCUUGGAAACUGGGUCUUCCCGCUGCGGCGAAAGUGGGGACCCGCUAGAAAUCCCAGGCGGAGGAAGCCUGGGAACGUGGGGUUCGGCAGGGCACCAGGAGCGCCUCCCCUACUCACGGGGAACCCCAUUUCGGGGCUCCGGAGUGAAGUGGGGUGAGCGGCGCGGUGCUGCGAACUGAUUGCUACUUUCACGGAGUGAAGCCGCACAGCCAUUGCCGGAGAGCGCUGACUUUUUCCUGUGGACAAUUGGAUUUAAAACAAGUACCCGUGAGUAGAAAUGGAAAAUUGGAUCAAGAAAUAUCCUAAUUUGGCACCGAAGAAGAAGGUUCAAAACAGGAAGUCCGCCUUCCACUUUUUGUAUAUAGACUGAAGCAAAAACCUUGUAAGCUAAAGCCUGGAAAGUCGUUUAUAAAAGUCUAAAUUUCCUUCAUUUAUAACCACUAAAACCCCCUUGGAAGCAGGAGAAAAGGGGGUGGGGGACUUUGACUGUUUAAGCCUGCAGGAGAGGGAGUAAAGAAAGACAAGUUUCCACCGUCUCAAACCUGGGAACGGGGUGUCAGAGACAGAAAUUGUUGGAGAUGUUCAUUGACUGUGAAUGGAACACUUUGACAGAUAGCUAAAAAAGAGAAAUAAACUGAUUCCAAUGUUGCCUUUUGCAUUCUAAAGAAACAAAAUAUCUGAAAAAUGAAAGUAAUUUUCCUUUGUUGGACUUGCCUUAAAAAGAUGGAUACAAAUAGAAAUUGUCUCCUCUAGAGGGAGCUUGUUAAAUUGUUGCUGCAGUCUACUUGGGGACUUUACAGCUGUGAGAUUAAGAUCGUGGGACCAGUCCUUUGACCUUGAAUAAAAAUGUGCUGGGAGGAAGUUUUGGUGCUUGCUUUAUGCAAGACUAGUGCUUUGUUGGAACAGAUGCAUGAGAAGAUGGAUUUGAUGAAUGAGAAAACGGAUUUGAUGACUGUUGUGGUCAGUAACUGCGGACAGACAGGGAAUACUGAUACAGAAAUCAUUCAGGGACCAACUCAGGAACCUGUAUUGAUUGGGCAAGUGCAAGUGCAGAAGAUAAUGGAGGAGGUUGCGGUUGCACCUCAAAUAAUACAAAUGGAGAGAUCCGAGGCCCUGCAGGAGCAUAAGCCGCUGUUUUUGAAGAUUGAAGUUGGAGUGGGCCAGGGGGAGUCUGGAGCUGAGGAGGUUCUUAACUUCGGAGGGACUUUGAAAUAUGCUCUUAAAUAUUUUUUUGAUUACAUUGAUGACUGUGGGGAGUGGAACUGUGGGGAAUGGGCUGGUUUGAUGAAGGGAGAUGGAGAUAAUUUUGGGCUGGAAUCUCCCAGAGACCUACUCCUCAAUGAGAAAGGAAAGAAAUUAAGAAAGAGACCAACAAAAGACAAGGAAAAGUACAGGUAUAAACAAGAAGAAGAAGAUCUGCAGAAGGGACAUGGAAGAGACUUAAGAGCCUCGGACAUAAGAUUACCAGGUUGAUGGACUAGAUGGAAUGGACAGUAAGGACUGACAUGACCCGAGACCAGGAAGAAGAGACGUUGGAUGAAGAUUGGAAGAAAAUUUAUAAAGAAAAAUUUUUAUUUAGGGAAUUAGCCUAAAAUUAAUGAAUAUUAGGGAAAAUGUUGACAUGAAACUAUAUGGCUUUAGUAGAAAUGAUAUAAGGAGUCAUGUAUAAAUGAGUAUUAAGUUUCAAGCUCUAAGGUAUUUUACGGUAAGAUAAGGUUAAAUAAAUCAAGGCAAUUUGAAUAACAGAAUAUGGGGAAAGAUGGAAAGGAUUCGCUGAGUUAAUUAAUAGGUUAAAUUGUUAAGAUAAAUUAUUCAAUAAAAAUUGAGAAAGAUGGAAAGAAUUUGCUGAAAUAACUAAUUAAACUAGAAUACAAAAAGGGAGAUGUGAGGAGGUCAAUGAAACAAGCAAAUGGAAGUUAAAGAUAUGCAAUAUGGGAUUUGUGUAUUUUUUUUCUUUUUGUUGUAUUGUUGUAUUGGUUUUUAUGUUUUGUUUUGUUUUUCUUCUUUUUUAUGUAUUGUAGUGUUGUUUCCUAUUUUUUCUUCUUUUCUGUAAUCCUGAAACUUUUAAUAAAUAUUAUUAAAAAAAAAAAGAAAAGCCUUUCACCUUCACUCUCCGCUGGUGAUUUCUCUCUGUCCCACCAGUCUGAACCUGGUUCAAAGUCUCCUUCCCACUUAGGUCCCUCCUGGGCCACUGGCUGCCACUACUCUUCCUCGUCCAGCCAGGCCCUGACACUGGGGCAUUCCCAAGCAUGUCACUCAGCUUCAAACAGUAUAUAAAUGUUCUUUCAAAAGUAUAGAGGCUGUAUUAUCCAGGGUCUCUAUAUACUGAUAUGCUUUGGACCUUUUCCAUCAUUGUCAAUCAAUCAAUAAUUUAUUAUGAUCAGAGACCAGCUUGUUUUUCCAUCGUUGUUUCCAAGAUCCAGCAACUGGAAUCAAUGUUACAUAUGUCAGAGAGUGUCAGGGCCAAUAGCAGUAGGAAAUUAGACAAAUGGGGAAAGGAUGCAGUUGGCUCACCUCAAAACACAUUUUGAUAGAUGGAUUUUUUGGGAAAAGAUGGACGCCUGCCUACAGGUGGGGUAUUUUUCUUUUUCUUUGUUUAUAGUUCUGGAUGUCCUACAUUAGCAAGCAGAUAGGACAAGAUGCCCUUAGAGAUUCCUAACCUUUGAUUCUGUGAUGUGACAGAUAUGUUUACUUCAGAAAUUCACCUACUGAUUAUGAAGCAUAGAAUCCAAAUAUAUUGCAAAAGUGAUUAUCUCCUCUGUAAUUAUUAAAAUUAUGGUAAUUAAUUCACCUGGAAAAGCUCUAGAAGGCAGAAUGGGAAAUAAAAAAUGAAACCUGAAACCUGAAAUGAUUAAAAGCACCCCAGUGUUCCAUUGACAACUAAGGUAAGGGAGGAAAGGUGAGGCCAGCUUUUGGUUUUGCAUUGUAUUGGUUAGAAUUCAAAUUAUAGCAUUCAAUGAAUUUUUUGUGACAGUGCCAAAGUUAAUGGGAAGGUGGAUACCUGCCUCUUUAAGUACAGAAUUGGCAGAGUCAGUGGUUACAAAUCUCCAGGUGUAGAAGGAUAUUUGUGAUGAGGAUGUGGUUGCUGCUUCUUCUCUUGCUGUUUCCCAAUAUGGUUCCCCAAGUGCACACUGUUGUUUGCAGCAGAAAUAAUCCUGUGCAUAUUCCACAUGAAUGGUAUGAACAAGGUGACCUUACCAUUGGUGGGAUAGUGUCUCAUAUCCAUUACAUAUUCCCCAGCAUUUCCUUCCAUGAACACCCAUCUCAGGUCUUUAUUCCCAACCCACUGUAAGUAAACAGCUCUUAAGAUCAUUUCAUUUAUUCUUUCUACAUUUAUAGCUGACUAUAAAGCACUUGGUUCACUUUGAAAGCCAAAGUAAGAUUAAACCCAAUAGUAAGAUUUUAUAAGACUAUUCUACUCUUAGUUUAGAGCAGUACUUUGAAAGAGGGGCUACGCCAUAACCUGCUCCAAGAUACAUGGUAUCUCUCCAUCCUCCAAUGAAGUAUUGAUCACUCGCUAGACCUCCCAAGUCACAGAAGCGGCAUUAGGGUUCUGCGAGAAGUGGCCACGCAUUGGGUACAAGCCAUGGGAGUGCUGUCUCAAAACCUGGUAAACAAGGCGCUGGGCUUUGGGAAAGAGGCAUGGGCUCUGAUAAGGUGCUGAAUCCUCCUGUCUACUUCCCAAAACCUAGUUAGCACUUUUCCAGCUUUGGAAACGAGGUGGGGAGCUCUAGGACUCUACCCGAACCUUGCGUUUCCUUCCAUAAGCUGGGCAAGGGUCAAUUUGGCAGCUUCAUUUCUUCAAGUGCAUUGACUACAUCCUCCGGCCACAAUAAUUUGAAGUGAUCUAGCAAAAAUGGAACAGAGGGCGCACUGCAUACCAUUUGACUGGCUUUAAUCAUGGUAAAGGUAAAGGGACCCCUGACAGUUAAGUCCAGUCGUGAACAACUUUGGGGUUGCGGCGCUCACCUCGCUUUACAGGCCAAGGGAGCCAGCGUUUGUCGGCUUUCGCAGACAGUUUUUCUGGGUAAUGUGGCCAACAUGACUAAGCCGCUUCUGGCAAAGCCAGAGCAGAGCACAGAAAUACCAUUAACCUUCCCAACGGAGUGGUACCUAUUUAUGUGCUUGCAGUGCGUGCUUUCGAACUUCUAGGUUAGCAGGAGCUGGGACCAAACAACUGGAGCUCACCCCGUCGUGGUGGGCCUCGAACUGCCAACUUUCCGAUCAUCAAGUCCAAGUGGCACAGUGGUUUAAACCACGAGCGCCACCCGUAUCCCCCUUAAUCGUGGUAUGCAACUCCAAAUCUGAUUGAUUCCAUCCCUAAAGUGUUUUUAAAGUUAUAAUAGCAGGCUGCUAACGUUAUAAGAGAAAUCUUCUCCUGGCCAGAUAACAAACGUAUAUUCAACAUUGAAAAGUUCUUCCGGACAGCUAGUUGUAGACACAAUUGUAGUGAAGAAGUAAGCUGUCAUCACCCCUGCCCCUUCCCUUCCACGUUCCAGGUGCAAAAUGAAACCUUAGCCAUGUUUGAGCUGAUUCAGUUUCACAUAACCACCACUUGCUUUCUAGCCAUUGGUCCUUCUGCCCACAGUAAUUUAACAUGGCAGACUUGCAUCGGGGAGAUCUGGGUUCAAAUCUCCAUUUUCUUGGCCAACUACAAUGUGGGGCUUUCAUGAGUAUGUAAGGGGAGAGAGGAGAGCUGUGGUAUCCAGCUUGAGCCGCUGUGUUGAAGGAUGGUAUAAAAUUGAAUUCAUGUCUAAAGCACAUUGAAAACAAUCAGGGACAAGCUUCAAAUGCAUUUAGUAAUAAUAGGAUGAGAGCCAUUUUACAAUCUUCACUGCCAGAUCAUCACUUGCCAUUUUUUAUAUUCAAAAUCGCAGCUGCCAGUUCCUUUAUUUUCAUUUCAUUUCAUUUUCAAUUCCUUUAUUUUCAUUUCAGAACAGUUUGCAUUGAUAGGAAAAAGAACUGACAAAGGGAUUGUAGUUUACUACCUAGCUGUAGUAAUGAUUUAAAUAACUGUGCAUGGCUCUAGUGAUGAAAAGCAACAUGGUUAUAAAAACUGAAAAUCAUUUCUCAAGCUAUGUGUUCAAACAAAGUGAGUCAGAUGGAAGAGAGAUCCAAACAGUAACUCUAAAGGCACAAAACAAUUUCCCUGUUUCCAACAUGAUUUAAUUGAGGCAGUUGUAUCCCUCAGAUCUAAGUGUUGUACACUGUUGAAUACCCCAUAAAAUAGUAACAUACUUUAUUUGCAGAGUGAUGACAAAGUUCUACCCACACAUCCUCGCCUUGGUUUUUGCUGUUGAUGAGAUCAAUGAGAAUCCCAAGAUCUUGCCCAAUGCCACUCUUGGAUUCCACAUCUAUGACAGCUAUUUUGAUUCAAGGAUGACCUACCGAAACACUCUGGAUCUGCUCUUUAAAUCUCAUCACUUUGUCCCCAAUUACAUAUGUGGCAUUCAGAAAAAUGUAGUAGGAGUCAUUGGGGGACUUAGCUCUGACACUUCCUCAUCCAUGGCAGACAUCUUAGGUCUUCACAAGAUUCCACAGGUAGAAUAUGGGUAUUGAAAAAAUGGGUAUUUCAUGCCAUUGUUAACACUUUUCUUCUUUCACUAGGAAUCUGUUUAUGCAUAAUAUGAAGUGGUAAAAUGGAAAAGGGAAACGGGUUGCAAUACAUGGGUAUUUGGGUGGGGGGUGGCUUAUAAUAUUAAUUCCCAACAAUGUAGAUGAAGGGACCCAGGUUCUAAAGAAUGUGUGUAUAAUACAUUUAAUGAAAGAUUGUUCAAAAAGUUCCAGCUGGAUGAAUGGGGCACCUUGAUGGGUUCACAUUACAUUAUUCCUGAAAGCACUGCCCUAGUUGCAUGAGAGGUAUACCAGUCCCACUUCGUAGUGAUGAAGCUGACUUACAAAGCCAUAAAUAACUUGGGACAACAAUGUCCUUCUCCUUAGGAAUCAUAAAAAGAUCCCCUCUUUUUAUAGGUAUGGUGAUGUUUAGUACUGUCCACCUUCAAAGGCUAAUCAAAAACAAAAUUCUUGUUAUCUUUCUGGCAUUUGGGGAUGGAUGUAUUCUUAUCAAUAUGGUGUUGUUCUGCUGCAUUACUUGACUUCAUAUUAGUUGCCUUAAUUUUUGCUGGUAUUUUACUUUCAUAGGAUAUGGUUUAUUGUGGUCAUAGAAGAAUAAAAUGUAUAAUAUUCAGGAAAUGUACAGGAUUUCCAAGAUAUCCACCAACGAGUGUUCUUAGUAGAUAUGACACCAACCUCUCCCUACAAGUGCUAUAAAGAUUAUAAACCAAAAGAAUAUGAUAAAUUGCUUUUAUUUCUCCAGUUCCACUUUGGAGUAUUGUUGAAGGCAAAGCUCUCCUGUUCUUGGAGAGAAUCCUUGUGUACAAGUAUGCAGCUGUGAUGACUCCCAUAAUAGGAAUUAAUAUCUACAAAAAUAAUUGAGAAAUAUUCUUUUUAUGUAAUGGGGUUUGACCCUCUGUAAGAUUAGUAAAUAUGGGAUAUACAGGAUUUAUACUCAGAAAAUGGGUGCAUUGUGAAUUCUUGUUUCCACUUGGAAAGGUUUGGCUUUUUCCUUUUCAGAUUUCAUAUGGUUCAUUUGAACCAGCCACAAAUGAUCAAAUCAAAGUUGCUUCCUUCUACCGCAUGGUCCCCAAUGAAGAUCUUCAGUACAAGGGAAUUAUCCAGUUACUUCUGCAUUUUGGAUGGAAAUGGGUCGGGCUCAUCACUCCAAAUAAUGAAGUUGGAGAACGUUUCUUGCAGAUCAUUGAACCAAUGCUUUUCCAGAAUGGAAUCUGUUCAGAAUUCACUGAAAAAAUUGAAUACCAUCUGCAUUUCACAGGUAACAUAGCUGAUAUGUUGGGUGAAACAAGGCUUUUGUCCCCAGCUUUCAUGGCAAGCAGAGCAAAUGCAAUUGUCAUAUAUGGAGAAAGUACAUCUAUUAUAUGGCUAUCAAGUACCACAGAGGUAAGGAAUAUAAUUCAGCUGAUAUUGCCUCCAUCUAAGAGGAAACAACCUGGAGGAAAAGUAUGGAUUACAACAGCCCAAAUUGAUUUCAUAUUAUAUUAUUUUAAAAAAAUGGUGAAAGUUAAUAUACAAAUGUUCCAUGGUGCUAUCUCCUUUGCGAUUCACUCCAAGGAGAUUCAAGACUUCUCAGACUUUCUAAGGAGUGUAAAGCCUUCGUGGGCAGAUGCAGAUGGUUUUUUCAGCGAUUUCUGGGAACAAGCAUUUGUUUGUUCACUUUCAAAUUCCACUGGGCCAGCAGACACAUGUACUGGAGAAGAGUUGCUGGAGAGCCUUCCUGCACCAUUUUUUGAAAUGAGCAUGACCGGCCACAGCUACAGUAUCUAUAACGCUGUCUAUGCUCUGGCACAUGCCUUACAUAUUAGGUACUCAUCUGAAGCCAUCCGCAAAAGGACAAAAGGUGGAGACAGACUCUCUUCUCAGAAUGUAGAGCCUUGGCAGGUAAUGUUUCCUCUUAUAAAGUGUUCACCUAGCAAAGUAUUCAGUGUUCUGCACUGUGUUGAUAAUAUAAUGAGAGUUGGCAUUCAUCUAUAAGUAAAUAAUUAAAGUAAUAAAUACAUCAAAGAUUAACCUUAAAUUAUUUUAUUUCCUGUUGGGUGUAGUGAAGGGUUAACCUUCUGUGCCUCAAGCCUGAGAGGAGGUGCGUACAAGGGAAGUACGCCAGGACGUUGACGAAAGCAGCUUUGGAAUGCUGUGAGCUGAGUGAAAAACAAAAGCAGUUUUUGUUGCGUAGCUCUCUGGGCAUCUCCCAAUGGCCUUCAGGGUUUGUAAGGGGCUCCAUCAACCCCACCUAUUGCUCCGUAGGAGCCCACUGCUGCAGCAGGAGGCAGCGAUGGAGCCCAUCACAGCAGCAGGAGGGCCUGCCAGAGCCCUUUCAGCGUGGCCCCCUCGUUGAAAAUUUUGUGGGUGCCUGGGAACUCAGGGCCCCAGAGAGAUGGUGCCAGUGCUUGUGGCUUUCUGCAGUUUCUUAUCAUCAGAUAAUAUGCAUAAAAAUGUCUGGCUUCCAUGGUAACUCAAACAAACAGAGCCAGGAAAAGAUCUUAAAUUCUCACAGGAAAACAAUUGAAUUAUUUUGUUGUUGUUGUUCAGUUGUCUAGUUGUAUCCGACUCUUCAUGACCCCAUAAAUUAUCUUAGUAACACUAUUACAACACUUCAUAGACCUUUUGAUUCUCUUUCCACCUAGCUGCACUCAUUCCUGCAGAGGCUCUCAUUCAACAACAGUGCUGGGGAUGAAAUUACAUUCAAUGAACGUGGGGAAUUAGCAGGUGGAUUUGAUAUUACAAACCUGGUCACUUUCCCAAAUAAUUCAUAUGUCAGGGUCAAAGUUGGAAGACUGGAUCCUCAGGCCCCUCCUGGCAAAGAACUCACCAUUAAUGGGGACAGAAUCCAAUGGCACAGAGUCUUCACUCAGGUAAGGAAAUCACUGCCCACAGGUGGGAGAGCAUGUAGUUUUGCCACAUGAAGUGAAAAGGGAAGUGCUGCCCAACUGCUGCUGCCACUACUAAUAAUGCUGCUCCUAAUAAUUUUAUUAAUAAGUAAACAAAUGAACCACAUCACCAGAAAGAGCAAUAUGCACAGAAGACAUGUCACACCAAGAAGGACCAAUGGCUAUCAGAGAGUGUUGUCCAACAUGCUUGUUUGUUGGUAGCUUUCCGGUUAGUAGCAUUAGAUAGAAUGCUAAGCUGACUGUAUCAUUGUGAAUGAAUAUUGUAAUCUUCUAGAGUUUUUCUGAUGCUGCUUGAGACUCUAGUGUUGAGUUGGAAUGAUAGAAGCAGGGAUGUACAUAGCGCAAAAUAUGGUCUGAAGCUCAACAUCAAAAAACUAAGAUCAUGGUCACUGGGCCCAUCACCUCCUGGCAAAUAGAAGGGGAAGAAAUGGAGGCAGUGAGAGAUUUUACUUUCUUGGGCUCCAUGAUCACUGCAGAUGGUGGCAGCAGUCAUGAAAUUAAAAGACGCCUUCUUCUUGGGAGAAAAGCAAACCUACAGCAUCUUAAAAAGCAGAGACAUCACCUUGCCAACAAAGGUCCGUAUAGUUAAAGCUAUGGUUUUCCCAGUAGUGAUGUAUGGAAGUGAGAGCUGGACCAUAAAGAAGGCUAAUAGUCAAAGAAUUGAUGCUUUUGAAUUAUGGUGCUGGAGGAGACUCUUGAGAGUCCCAUGGACUGCAAGAAGAUCAAACCUAUCCAUUCUUAAGGAAAUCAGCCCUGAGUGCUCACUGGAAGGACAGAUCCUGAAGCUGAGGCUCCAAUAUUUUGGCCACCUCAUGAGAAAAGAAGACUCCCUGGAAAAGACCCUGAUGUUGGGAAAGAUUGAGGCCACAAGGAGAAGGGGACGACAGAGGAUGAGAUGGUUGGACAGUGUUCUUGAAGCUACCAACAUGAGUUUGACCAAACUGUGUGAGGCAGUGGAAGACAGAAGUGCCUGGCGUGCUCUGGUCCAUGGGGUCACGAAAAGUCGGACACGACUAAACUACUAAACAACAUGUGCUGCCUCAGCACAUAUGGUUCCUACAUUUAACAUUUCUGACCCUCCUGUUUACUGAUAGAUCACCUGAUGUUACCUGAAUCCCCUAAAACAUUUUCUUAAUAUUAACCCCUUCGUGUCCCUUUGGAUAGGUGCCACCCGUUUCCUUAUGUAAUGCCAACUGCCAUCCUGGUUAUGAGAAGAAAAAGAAGGAGGGGAAGAAGUUUUGUUGUUAUGAUUGUGAUCCAUGUCCUCGUGGGAUGUUCUCAGAUGAGAAGGGUGAGAGACAUGCCAUAUUAUAUUUUUUAUAUGCCAUAUUAGCAUAUAAAAGUCAUUUUAGAAACUUCUGAGCAAAUCGGCAAUGGGAUUUGCUCUGUUUUAUUCUACUAUUAACAAUAAUCUCCCUGCUGUCUCAGUAAAAGCUGCCAGUAUGAAGAAAUUAUAUUAGCUUUCUAGUGGGUAUAACAUGAAAAUGUGACUUUACCUGUAAUGUAAAGAUUUUCCAUCACUUUAUCUAUAUUGAUCUUUGAAACGUUAUUAAAUAUAAUGUUCCAUGAUGUUUAAUGCAGUUUCCCAUUGCCAGUGGCUCACUGCUGUGGUGUCACAUUUUAAUAAUGCAUUUUACCGUUAUAAAUCACUAGUGUAGCUCCACCCCAAGAUUGUUUUGUCCUGAAGACAGCACUAAAAAUUUUAGGGGGGAGGAGGUAAUAGGAGUGAUUGUCUUUUAUCUAAGAACAAGGAUUUUGGGGACAGGGUUAAAAUCCUAUAAAAAUCACCCCUCUUGCUUCCAAGAUUUCAGCUGUAAUAUUUCUCUGAUUUCAUUAUGCAGUAUCUGUUGUUCUAAGAAUAUGGAAGAGGAUCACUAAAAACAUAGUUUCUCCAUAUAGGAAAUGUUAAAUUCCAUGCAUAACUUUAUCUUCAAAGCAUCUAGGGCACUAGCAUUUGCAAUAGAAGUUUUGAAACUUUUCCUCAUGGAAACACUAUGGUAAGGAAUCUCCUGAUUUUUUUAAGAAAACCACUCUUAAGCAUAUUCUGGAUAGUUAUCAAUUGUCAUGCAACCUUUUUUCAGGAUUGGAAACCUGUGUCAGAUGUCCUGUGGAUCAAUAUCCAAAUGAAGAGCAGAAUGAGUGCAUUCCCAAGAAACCAAAUGUCCUAGGCUUUGGUGAAACUUUGGCCAUGGUUUCAACUUUCUCUGCGCUUUUAUUCUCUUUGAUCACAGCUAUGGUACUUGGCAUUUUCAUUAAGCACAGGGACACUGCCAUCGUCAAAGCCAAUAACAGAAGCCUCACUUACAUUCUCCUCAUCUCCCUCCUCUUGUGUUUCCUCUGCUCCUUGGUGUUCAUUGGAAUGCCUAAUAAGGCAACCUGCCCACUCCGACAAACGGCUUUUGGCAUUGUCUUCUCUGUGGCCCUCUCCAGCAUCUUGGCCAAGACUAUUUCAGUGGUUUUGGCAUUCAUGGCUACCAAGCCAGAUUCCACAAUCAGGAAGUGGGUAGGCAAAAAACUGGCUUACUCCAUUGUCAUUUCUUGCUCUGUGAUUCAAGUAGGAAUCUGUGCCUCCUGGUUGGCAACCUCUCCCCCAUUUCCAGAUGUGGACAUGCACUCAAUGACUGAAGAAAUUAUAUUCUUAUGUAAUGAGGGGUCAGUUCUCAUGUUCUAUGGUGUUUUAGGCUACAUGGGCUUCCUGGCCAUGAUCAGCUUCACUGUGGCCUUCUUAGCCCGGAAGUUGCCGGACAGCUUCAAUGAAGCCAAAUUCAUCACCUUCAGCAUGCUGGUCUUCUGCAGUGUUUGGUUCUCUUUUAUUCCCACAUACUUGAGCACCAGAGGAAAAUACAUGGUGGCUGUGGAGAUCUUCUCCAUCUUGGCUUCCAGUGCUGGGCUGCUGGGUUGCAUCUUUUCCCUAAAUGCUACAUUAUUGUGGUGAGGCCUGAGCUGAAUAACAGAGAGCAGCUGAUACGGAGAAAGAUGUAAAUAACAGAAUAUUUUGUCAUUUCUGUAUUUAGAUUCUGUAGACUUAUUAGCCGAGUCAUUUCACUGUGGUUUUUCAAGAAAGGAAGUUACCUGAAAUGAUCAAAACAACAGAAGAGAUUGUCUUAUCAUUUAUGUUCUUGAUAUGCAGCAUAGUUGCAUAUGAAGUAUAAAUGAACUGGGAUUAUGUGUCAGCUGUGGCGUGGGAAAGAGGAAGAGCCUCGGCCGCGCCAGACCUAAGUAGGCGAGGCCAAGUCCCCGAGCCAGCCUUGAAGCCCGCAACCCCACCUCCUCCCUAGCUCAGAAGUGGCUUUCUUGAUAUGCAGCAUAGUUGCAUAUCAGGUAUAAAUGAACAGGGAUUAUGUGUAUGAAAAAACUAUGGAUGAUAUCCGUAGCACCUCUGAGCACCAGAGGAAGAUACAUGGUGGCUGUGGAGAUUUCCUCCAUCUUGGUUUCCAGUACUGGCUUGCUGGCAUGCCUCUUUUUCCCUAAAUGCUACAUUACUGUGAUAAGGCCUGAACUGAAUAACAGAGAACAGCUGAUAUGGAGCAAUGUAUAAAUGGCAGAAGAGAUUGUAGUUUAUGUUGGGAAUUAGGCUCUAGAAACUUUCUGGCCAGUGUCAGAUGUGGGGGUCAAAAUUACAGAAGAGCUUGCCUUAUCGUUUAUGUUCUUGGCAUCCAGCACAGUUACAUAUGAGCUGGAAAUGAAUUGGAACUAUGUGUAUGAAUGAAACUAUGGAUCAAAUCCAACAUAUCCAACAAUUUGAAUCCCUUACUCUACUUUUCCAGCAUCCACUUUCCCAAUAGGUUCUGAAACUCCUGAGCAGAUGUUGGUGUGUGUUGGAAACUGCAGAUAGAGGAAAGGGGAAAGGGAACAUUGUAAACUGCCUUAUGUUAUGCAAGAGCAUUGCUCAAUCUAUCAGGGCCAUGCGAUAGACUCAACCAAGUCUCCACCCAAAUUAUGGAAGAAUUUGGGCAGUUUGGGUUGUGGCUGUGGGGAAAGAGUAUCAGGCAAGAAGUGGAGGCAGGCACUAGCCCAGGGAAAUUGUGUAUAGUCUGAAACCUAAUAAAUCCUCCACCUUAGACAAUUCUUAUUGUCUGUCUGUAUUAAUUUACAACUACUCUUAGUUAUAUUAAUCUCCUUAUUCAUUUUGCUUCUUGUUAUUUUCAUUAUCCAUCACUUUUCCUAAUCUUUCCAGUUAUAAGGUUUAUUUCCAGUUCUACUGGUUUCACUAUUUCAUCUUAUCUUUCCUAUAUACGACAUAAAUUUUCCCAUUCUUUUUGAAAUGUUUCCUCCCCUGUUGUCUAUUUUUUCCUGUUAAUUUGGCUAUUUCUGCAUAUUCCAUUACCUUCUGUCGCCAUUCUUCUACUGUUGGUAUUUGCUGUUGUUUCCAGACCUGUAAUCUUAUACCUGCCUUGACAUGGGGCUGGAAAGGGAGUCAGAAAGUGACUCACCUUCACAUGGACACUGCAUCAGUCUCAGAGGGCUCAAAUUCUUGAGAAAGAGAACCAGUGUGGUGUAGUGGUUAAGAGCGGUAGGCUCUUAAUUUGGUGAACCAGGUUCGCAUCUCCGCUCCUCCACAUGCAGCUGCUGGGUGACCUUGGGCUAGUCACACUUCUUUGAAGUCUCUCAGCCCCACUCACCUCACAGAGUGUUUGUUGUGGGGGAGGAAGGGAAAGGAGAAUGUUAGCUGCUUUAAGACUCUUUUGGGUAGUGAUAAAGCAGGAUAUCAAAUCCAAAUCCAAACAAAGCCCUGACAGGUCAGCAUGAGGCAUUUUUUCAACAGCCCAAACCUUCCUUACACCAAGGGUACCCAAUCUGUGGCCCUCCAGAUAUUGCUGGACUACAGCUCACAUCAGCUUCCAAUUGGCUAUUAUUAUCAUGGAUGAUGAAAGCUGUAAUCCAGAAACAUCUGGAGGGGAAAAUACUGCCUAGCACUGCCUGACAGUGAUAGACCACCUAGUCUUCAGAAUUACUACUUCAGACCACCUAGACUUCAGAAUUACUAAAAGGUGGAUGGCACAGUUUUUCCUUAGCAUGCCACUCUGCUUCAAACUGUAUAUAUGUGCUCUUUCAAAAGCAGUUCGGCUGUGUUCUCCAGGGUCUCUAUAUCCUGAUAUGGUUUGGACCCUUUCCAUCAUUGUUCCCAAGUUUCAGUAAGUGUAAUCGAUGUUACAUAUGACAGCGAGAGUAAGGGCCAAUAGCAGGAGGAAAUUAGACAACUGGGGAAAGGAUGCAGUUGGCUCCCCUCUAAACACAUUUUGAUAGAGGAAUUUUUUGGAAAAAGAUGGAUGCCUGUCUACAGGUGGGGUGUUUUUGUUUUUGUUUGUAGUUAUGGAUGUCCUGCAUUAGCAAGCCGAUAAUACUUGAUGACCAUAGAAAUCUCUUCCUAAUCUAGGAUUGUAUGAUGUGACAGAUAUGUUUACUUUGGAAAUCAUUUCUGAUGCACUAUAGAGUCAAAAACAAAAAAAAGGUUAUCUGACCUGUAAUUAUUAAAAUUACUAUAAUCAAUUCACCUGGCAAAGCACCAGAAGGCAUAAUGAAAAAUAAAGAUUCAAAAACUAAAUCACAAAUGAUUAAAAGCACCCUAGCGUUCCAUUGACAGCUAUGGUAAGGGAGGAGAGAGGAGGCCAGGCUCUGUUAUUUCAGUCAGUUUCCCUCUUUCAUUGUAUAGGUCAGGUUUCAAAUCACUCUAGAUUAAUUCACAUUCAAUUAAUUUUUUAAGUAACAGUGAUAAAGUUAAAAAGAAAGUGGCUACCUGCCCCUUUAAGGACAUAAGUGCCAAAGUCAGCUGUCACCAAAUACAUCCUGUUCAAGUCAGGCUGAUGAUAGUAACAAUAUUGUAGAGAGUCCAUGUGUAGAAGGAUAUUUGUGAUCAGGAUGUUGUUGCUGCUGCUUCUCCUACUGCUUCCCAAUAUGGUGCCCCAAGUGCACAAUGUUGUUUGCAGCAGAAAUAAUCAUGUGCAUAUUUCACAUGAGUGGUAUGAACCAGGUGACCUUCAAGUGCAUUCACUAAAUCCUCUGGCCACAGUAAUCAAAACUGAUCCAGAAAAAAUGAAACAGAGAGUGCACUGCAUACCAUUUGACAGGCUCCAUAGUAUUAUGCAAUUCUGUCUGAGACUGAUUCCAUCUCUAAAGUGCUUCCAAAGACAUAGCAGCAGGCUGCUAACUUUAUUAGAGAAAUGCUCUCUUGGCCAGAUGACAAAAGAAUAUUCAACACUGAAAAGCUCUUCCUGAUAGCUGGUUGUGGACGCAGUGCUGGUAAAGAUGAAGAUAUGAAACUUCAACUGUGUUUGAGCUGAUGCAGUUUCAUAUCACCACCACUUGCUCUCUAGCCAUUGAUCCUCCUGCCCACAGUAAUAUAUCAUGGCAACCUUUCAUUGGGGAUACAUUUUAAAUACGCUUAGUAAUAAUGGGAGGAGAGCCCUUUUACCAUCAUCACUGCUAUCUCAUCACUGGGCAUUCUUCAUAUUCAAAAUGGCAGCUGCCAAUUCCUUUAUUUAAUUUCAUAGCAAUUUCUAUUGCUAAGAACAGCUGCGUACUGACAAAUGGAUAUUGAACUGAUUUCAGUAACUGUAGCAUAGCCAUGUUCUUCUUUCUAAAUAAAAAUCUGACUUGGAUGGAGGAAAUAUCCAAACAUUAACUCUAAAAGGACAAAGCAAUUUGAUAUUUACAAGAAUAUUUAACAGGGGCAGUUGAAUCUCUCACAUCUCGAUGUUGUGCACUGUUUUAUUCCCCAUAAAAUAGUAACACACUAUAUUUGUAGGGUGAUGAGAAAGUUCUACCAACACAUCCUCGCCUUGGUCUUUGCUGUUGAUGAGAUCAAUGGGAAUCCCAAGAUCUUGCCCAAUGCCACGCUUGGAUUCCACAUCUAUGAUACCUAUUUUGAUUCAAGGAUGACCUAUCAAAACACUCUGCACCUGCUCUUUAAAUCACAUCGUUUCGCCCCCAACUACAUAUGUGGAAUUCAGAAAAAAAUAGUAGGCGUCAUUGGGGGACUUAGCUCUCACACCUCUUCAUCCAUGGCAGAUAUCUUAGGUCUUUACAAGAUUCCACAGGUACAUAAAAUAGAUAUGUCAUUCCGUAGUUCACUCUACACUCCUUCUACUGGAAGCUGUUGAUUCAUAAGUAUCAAGUUGAAAAAGGAAAAUGGUUGCAAUAUAUUGAUAUAUUUGAGGACGUAUGUGCAUAAACCAACUUUUAAGAGAGAGCCAUGUUCCCAAAGAUGUGAGUUUAAUAUAUUUAGUGGAGGAUUGGGCUCAGAUUAUUUCAAUUCUGCAAGCAUUGUCCUAGCUGUCUGAAAAGUACCAAUCCCAAUUCAUGCUGUUGAUAAUCGCUUGCACAGGCAUAAAUAACUCAAGACAAGAAUGGCCCUCUCCCUAGGAAUCAUGAAAUUCCCACCUUGUGGAAGUGUGAUGUUAUUCAGCACUGUCCUCUUUCAGAGGCUAAUGAAAAGCACCUUUCUUGUGUUUUUUUCUGGCAUUUGGGGAGAGAGAAAUAGUGGUACCAAUUUUGUGUUGUUCUGCUACAUUACUGAACUUCAUUUUAAUUGCCUUAAUUUUUGCUAGUAUUUUGAUUCAUUAUAUAGGAUAUGGUUUAUUGUUGAUCACAGAAGAAUAAAAUGUAUUAUAUUCAAGAAACCUAUAGGAGAACUCCCAUGAGAGUUCUUAGUACAUAAACCAUCAAAGUCUCUCUACAACUGCUUUAAAGGUUAUAGACCAAAAGAACAUGAUCAAUGGUUUGUCUCCCUCCAUUUCCAAAAUCAAGUUUUUUUCAUUUAUCCAAGCAGUAUGUGGAAACGAGCAGGGAUAAAUGCUCUCCAGACUUUGACACAAUCCAUGUGUACAAGUAUGCGACUGUGAUGACACCACAAUAAUAGGAAUCAAUAUCUACAUAAAUAAAUGAGCAAGAUUGUUUGUUUUGUGCGUUUUUCUAUGUAAAUGGGAGGGUGGCCCUUUCUCUAAGAUUAGAAAAGAUGGAAUGCAUAGGAUUUAUAUUAGAUAAAUGAGUGUGUUGUGAAUUCUUGUUUCCACAUAGAAAAGUUUGGCUUUUUUCUUUUUCAGAUUUCAUAUGGUUCAUUUGAACCGGCAAUAAAUGAUCACAUCAAAUUCGCUUCCUUUUAUCGCAUGGUGCCCAAUGAAGAUCUUCAGUACAAGGGAAUUAUCCAGUUACUUCUGCAUUUCGGAUGGAAAUGGGUUGGGCUCAUCACUCCAGCUAAUGAAGCUGGAGAACGUUUCUUGAAUGCUAUUGAGCCAAUGUUUUUCAAAAAUGGAAUCUGUUCAGCAUUCACAGAAAGAACGGUAUACUAUGUGCAAUUCAGCUUUAAAAUAUUUGAUAUAGUGGAUCAAUCAAAGCUUUCCUUACCAGCUUUCAUGAAAAGCAAAGCAAAUGCGAUUGUUAUAUAUGGAGAAAGUACAUCUAUUAUAUGGCUUACAGGUGUUUUUAUUGCAAGGAAUAUGAUUCAGCUAAUUCUUCAUCAAUCUGUGAGGAAUGAACUUGAAGGGAAAGUAUGGAUUACAGCAGCCCAAAUAGAUUUCACAUCAAAUAUUGUAGGAAAACUGAUUGACCCUAAUAUACAAAUGCUCCAAGGUGCUAUAUCCAUUACAAUUCACUCCAAGGAGAUUCAAGACUUCUCAGACUUUCUGCAGGAUGUAAAGCCUUCUGGACAAGAUGCAGAUGGUUUCAUUAAGGAUUUCUGGGAACAAUCAUUUCUUUGUUCAGUUUCAAACUCCUCUGCAUUAGCACUCAUUAUGGGUACAUGUACUGGAGAGGAGAUGCUGGAGAGCCUCCCUGCACCAUUUUUUGAAAUGAGCAUGACCGGCCACAGCUACAGUAUCUAUAAUGCUGUCUAUGCUCUGGCACAUGCCUUACAUAUUAGGUGCUCAUCUGAAGGCAUCUGCAAAAGGACAAUUGACGGAAACACUCAGAAUGUAGAGCCUUGGCAGGUAGUGUUUCCUGUAACAAAGUCUUUACAACCUGCUCAGUGUUAUGCACUCCACUGAUGUAUGAUAUAG